AGUGAACGCUGGCGGUAGGCCUAACACAUGCAAGUCGAACGGCAGCACAGUAAGAGCUUGCUCUUACGGGUGGCGAGUGGCGGACGGGUGAGGAAUACAUCGGAAUCUACUUUUUCGUGGGGGAUAACGUAGGGAAACUUACGCUAAUACCGCAUACGACCUACGGGUGAAAGCAGGGGAUCUUCGGACCUUGCGCGAUUGAAUGAGCCGAUGUCGGAUUAGCUAGUUGGCGGGGUAAAGGCCCACCAAGGCGACGAUCCGUAGCUGGUCUGAGAGGAUGAUCAGCCACACUGGAACUGAGACCCGGCCCAGACCCCUACGGGGGGCAGCGGUGGGGAAUUUUGGCAAAUGGGCGAAAGCCUGACCCGGCCAUCCCGGGGGGGUGAAGAAGGCUUUCGGUUUGUAAAGCCCUUUUUUUGGGAAAAAAAAGCAGCAGGUUAAUACCCCGCUGUUCUGGCGGUACCCAAAGAAAAAGCACCGGCAAACUUCGU
rnacentral:rRNA from 1 species